rnacentral:rRNA from 1 species
UACGUAGGGGGCAAGCGUUGUCCGGAUUUAUUGGGCGUAAAGAGCGUGUAGGCGGCCAUACAGGUCAGCUGUGAAAACUCGAGGCUCAACCUCGAGACGUCGGUUGAAACCGUUUGGCUAGAGUCCGGAAGAGGAGAGUGGAAUUCCCGGUGUAGCGGUGAAAUGCGCAGAUAUCGGGAAGAACACCCGUGGCGAAGGCGGCUCUCUGGGACGGUACUGACGCUGAGACGCGAAAAGCGUGGGGAGCGAACAGG